rnacentral:pre_miRNA from 1 species
UGUAAACAUCCUACACUCAGCUGUGAUUCGUGAAUUGGCUGGGAGGUGGAUGUUUACU